GUUUGUAAUACGCAGUCUUCUUGGCCAUGAGCUCUUCAUGCGUGCCUUUCUCGAUCACAACCCCCUGGGACAUGACAGCUAUGAUAUCGGCGUUUUGGAUGGUGGACAGCCUGUGCGCUAUCACAAUACAGGGCAGACGUAGCUUCAUCCAGCAGCAAGAUCUUGGGGUUUCUGACGAUGGCCCGGGCGAUGGCGAUGCGCUGCUUCUGCCCCCGGGACAGCUGGGAGCCCUGAGCACCAACCUGCGUCUCAUAUUUCUGCCAAGGAAAAGUGGACAAAUUUAAUCAGGGAUUAACAUGUAGCCCAAAAUAAUGAGUUUGCAAUUAGUUGCUGCUACAGUGAUACGGUGCUCAUGGAAAAUCUUGGGAUGCUUGCUUAAUUCUGUAAAAAUGUUGCAAAUUUAAUGGUUUCAUAACAAAAGUGUCACGCCCUGCUCGUCCGAUCCUCGUAUGUGCCACGCCCCCUGAUUAUCCACGUGCGAUUCCCUGAUCUUGCCCAGCUGUGUUCGAUUCAUUUUCGCCCAGUCCUGUAUAUUUCAGUCCAUGUCUUGCCUUGGUUUUGGUCCGUCAUUGAUGUUAGUCGAUGUCAGAUGUUUCCUGGACCCCGUACCUUGAAUAAAUCCUCAUUUUUUC